rnacentral:rRNA from 1 species
GACACGGCCCAAACUCCUACGGGAGGCAGCAGUAGGGAAUCUUCCACAAUGGACGAAAGUCUGAUGGAGCAACGCCGCGUGAGUGAAGAAGGGUUUCGGCUCGUAAAGCUCUGUUGGUAGUGAAGAAAGAUAGAGGUAGUAACUGGCCUUUAUUUGACGGUAAUUACUUAGAAAGUCACGGCUAACUACGUGCCAGCAGCCGCGGUAAUACGUAGGUGGCAAGCGUUGUCCGGAUUUAUUGGGCGUAAAGCGAGUGCAGGCGGUUCAAUAAGUCUGAUGUGAAAGCCUUCGGCUCAACCGGAGAAUUGCAUCAGAAACUGUUGAACUUGAGUGCAGAAGAGGAGAGUGGAACUCCAUGUGUAGCGGUGGAAUGCGUAGAUAUAUGGAAGAACACCAGUGGCGAAGGCGGCUCUCUGGUCUGCAACUGACGCUGAGGCUCGAAAGCAUGGGUAGCGAACAGGAUUAGAUACCCUGGUAGUCCAUGCCGUAAACGAUGAGUGCUAAGUGUUGGGAGGUUUCCGCCUCUCAGUGCU